CCUGGCUCAGAACGAACGCUGGCGGCGUGCCUAACACAUGCAAGUCCAACGGUGAAAGGGGAGCAAUCCCCCGGUAGGGUGGCAAACGGGUGAGUAAUACAUGGGUGAUCUACCUUAGGGAUGGGGAUAUCCUUCCGAAAGGAGGGGCAAUACCGAAUAUUGUCCGGAGCCGUGAAGGGUUCCGGGGAAAGGGAGGCCUCUGAUACAAGCUUUCGCCUUAAGAUGAGCCCAUGGCCCAUCAGCUAGUUGGUAGGGUAAAGGCCUACCAAGGCUACGACGGGUCGCUGGUCUGAGAGGACGACCAGCCACACUGGCACUGAGAUACGGGCCAGACUCCUACGGGAGGCAGCAGUGAGGAAUAUUGCGCAAUGGGGGAAACCCUGACGCAGCAACGCCGCGUGUGGGAAGAAGGCCUUCGGGUCGUAAACCACUUUUGCACGGGACGAAAAAGGGA
rnacentral:rRNA from 1 species